GGUCAAGCUACAAAGGGCGCAUGGUGAAUGCCUUGGCAUCAGGAGCCGAUGAAGGACGUGAUAAGCUGCGAUAAGCUUCGGGUAGGCGCACAUAGCCUGAGAUCCGAAGAUCUCCGAAUGAGGAAACUCACAUGGGAAACCCCAUGUAUCGUUAAGUGAAUACAUAGCUUAAUGAAGGUAACCCAGGGAACUGAAACAUCUAAGUACCUGGAGGAAGAGAAAGAAAAAUCGAUUUUCUUAGUAGCGGCGAGCGAAAGGGAAAGAGCCCAAACCGGAAACUUGUUUCCGGGGUUGUGGAC
rnacentral:rRNA from 1 species